rnacentral:lncRNA from 1 species
AACAUGGAUAUUAUGAAUAGUUGCUUUGCCAUAAUUCCUUUCAAGUAACUAGUUUUCAAAUUUGAACUCUCUCUCUAGUUUAGGCAUAACUUUUAUGAUUUGAAAUUUACUCUAAACCUGAACUUGUGGGAAGAGUACCUAAUCUAAUGUCUAAGUUGUUGACCGAUAUGAUAUGGAAAGAUUUGAGCUGCUGUUUAUCUGUUCCUAGAGAUACUAGAAUUAUGGAGAAUUUAUUCUUUGAAAAACUUUAAAAAUGCUGCAUGAUGAGUACGUGUAUGAUGAGAGUAUAAAAUCCUACCACAGCCUUCCAUACAUGUUUACUAGAUCAAGAAACCACACAUUUACAUUUUACUAUUUAUGAGCAUUGAGUGUGGUCAAGCUGGGCAGACCCUCAGGAGCUAGUCAUGCUGUUUUAAUCAAGAUUCACUUGCACAUCCACUCAUUUCCAUCUCUAGAUCCACUCAAAAAAAUAUUCCAGUAAUUCCCUGUAAAAUAAAUGUUCUAGUCUUAUUUGUUACUACCACUUGCUUUGUUGCUCAAGAAUAAUGAGUGCUUGAAAAAAAGAGAGAUCGAGGAAAUAAAAAGGGGCAAGUGCCCGACAACCUCGAGAAAAAUAAAGAAAGAAAGACGAUGAAAUAAAAAGGGGCAAGUGACCGCCGACCUCAGAAAAGAAAAAAGUGUGAGACAAGAGGUAAAAAUGGACAAGUGUUAGACAGUAGAAUUAGGGGUACAAGAGACCCACCUGAGUGAAAAAAAUAAAUAAUCGAGCAUCUCAGUUCCUUCGGAAAGCUACAAGUGCAAUAGAGGUAUGUAUCCUUUGGAAGAACAAAAGAAAACUUUCACCACUGUUUCAUCACUACCACCAUCAUCACCAUUCAUUCAUCUAUAGUUUGACUAUGCAAGAAAUGUCUUGUAAAUAUGUAUACUCUAUCUCCCACCUAUGAGCUCUAGAUAUCAAAAGACUUGUUAGAAGUAGGGUG